UACGUAGGGUGCAAGCGUUGUCCGGAAUUAUUGGGCGUAAAGAGCUCGUAGGCGGUCUGUCGCGUCGGAUGUGAAAGCCCGGGGCUUAACCCCGGGUCUGCAUUCGAUACGGGGCAGACUAGAGUGUGGUAGGGGGAGAUCGGAAUUCCUGGUGUAGCGGUGAAAUGCGCAGAUAUCAGGAGGAACACCGGUGGCGAAGGCGGAUCUCUGGGCCAUUACUGACGCUGAGGAGCGAAAAGCGUGGGGGAGCGAACAGGAUUAGAAA
rnacentral:rRNA from 1 species